GACGAACGCUGGCGGCGUGCUUAACACAUGCAAGUCGAACGGUGAAGCGCCUUCCUUUUUGGUGGGUGUGGAUGAGUGGCGAACGGGUGAGUAACACGUGAGUAACCUGCCCCCUUCUUCUGGAUAACCGCAUGAAAGUGUGGCUAAUACGGGAUAUUCUGGGUCUGUCGCAUGAUGGGUCUGGGAAAGAUAUUGUUUCGGUGGGGGAUGGGCUCGCGGCCUAUCAGCUUGUUGGUGGGGUGAUGGCCUACCAAGGCGGUGACGGGUAGCCGGCCUGAGAGGGUGGACGGUCACACUGGGACUGAGACACGGCCCAGACUCCUACGAGGGGCAGCAGUGGGGAAUAUUGCACAAUGGGCGCAAGCCUGAUGCAGCGACGCCGCGUGAGGGAUGGAGGCCUUCGGGUUGUGAACCUCUUUCGCCAGUGAAGCAGACCUGCCUCGUUUGUGGGUGGGUUGACGGUAGCUGGAUAAGAAGCGCCGGCUAACUACGUG
rnacentral:rRNA from 1 species